AGAAUAUGUUGACCUUUUGGAGCUAGUGAUGAAUCAAGAACAGUGGGAAUACUCAAAAAGAUGCUUCCAUAAGGCUUCUCCAGGCUAGUCCAACUAUCCUCAAGAACGAAAUGGUGGCAAUCUGUAUCGGGGGGCAAAACGUUGGCUUUGACUCCCAUAUGAAUGGAAAGAAAAGAAGGUGCCUUGACAUAGGUUCUUUGGAAGUUUUUCUCCGUUUCUGGGAGAUCAUCCAUUUUCA
rnacentral:misc_RNA from 1 species